rnacentral:rRNA from 1 species
CCUACUGUGGGCUGCAGUAGGGAAUCUUCCACAAUGGACGAAAGUCUGAUGGAGCAACGCCGCGUUAGUGAAGAAGGGUUUCGGCUUGUAAAGCUCUGUUGGUAGUGAAGAAAGAUAGAGGUAGUAACUGGUCUUUAUUUGACGGUAAUUACUUAGAAAGUCACGGCUAACUACGUGCCAGCAUCCGCGGUCAUUCGUAGGUUGCUAGUGUUGUCCGGAUUUAUUGGGCGUAAAGCGAGUGCAGGCGUUUCAAUCAGUCUGAUGUGAAAGCCUUCGGCUCAACCGGAGAAUUGCAUCAGAAUCUGUUGAACUUGAGUGCAGAAGAGGAGAGUGGAACUCCAUGUGUAGCGGUGGAAUGCGUAGAUAUAUGGAAGAACACCAGUUGCGAAGGCGGCUCUCUGGUCUGCAACUGACGCUGAGGCUCGAAAGCAUGGGUAGCGAACAGGAUUAGAGACCCUAGUAGUC